UACGUAGGGUGCGAGCGUUAAUCGGAAUUACUGGCGUAAAGCGUGCGCAGGCGGUUAUGUAAGACAGAUGUGAAAUCCCCGGGCUCAACCUGGGAACUGCAUUUGUGACUGCAUAGCUAGAGUACGGUAGAGGGGGAUGGAAUUCCGCGUGUAGCAGUGAAAUGCGUAGAGUAUGCGGAGGAACACCGAGUGGCGAAGGCAAUCCCCGUGGACCUGUACUGACGCUCAU
rnacentral:rRNA from 1 species